rnacentral:rRNA from 1 species
UACGUAGGGUGCGAGCGUUGUCCGGAAUUACUGGGCGUAAAGGGCUUGUAGGUGGUUUGUCGCGUUGUUCGUGAAAACUCACAGCUUAACUGUGGGCGUGCGGGCGAUACGGGCAGACUGGAGUACUGCAGGGGAGACUGGAAUUCCUGGUGUAGCGGUGGAAUGCGCAGAUAUCAGGAGGAACACCGGUGGCGAAGGCGGGUCUCUGGGCCGAUACUGACGCUGAGGAGCGAAAGCGUGGGGAGCGAACAGG